rnacentral:lncRNA from 1 species
AGCUGAGAGCACUCAGCUCAUAGAUUCUCUGUGGGGAGAGUGAAUAAAGACAGAGCAUCAAACAAAAGCCAGACGUGACCAUAAGAAAAUUGUAUUUUUAAAGACUAAAGGUGGAGCUAGGGGAAAAUGAGUUUAAUGUGAAGUAGUGCCCCUGUCAGUUCUGUUUGUCCUGGGAAAUACACAAGGAAGAAAAGCCUCCAUGGAAGACAGAGGAAGCACCAGGUGCUGAAGGUUUUCACUGAAAACCCAAACCAAGAAAUAGCAACACAUCUAGAAUACUUACUACUAUAAAGCUCACCUGGAUA